rnacentral:rRNA from 1 species
UUAAAGUGCCAAAUGGGACUGAAUGUACCCGAUCCCUUCUGAUCUCAGAAGCUUAAGUCCUGGCCUGGCUAGUUCUUGAACAGGAGACCACCUGGGAAUUGUGGGUUCCAGG